UUGGGGAUUUAGCUCAGUGGUAGAGCGCUUGCCUAGCAAGUGCAAGGCCCUGGGUUCGGUCCUCAGCUCUGGAAA
rnacentral:tRNA from 1 species